AAAGUCGUAACAAGGUUUCCGUAGGUGAACCUGCGGAAGGAUCAUUAAAACAAUAUAGAAUUUCAUAUUCUUAAACCCCUGCAGUGUACUUGUUCUUGUUGCUUCCGUGGGCAGUAGGCCCUGUGCUUGCGACCACCUUUAUGGUGGACCCACGGGAGGUAAUCAUAAACUUCGUCUUGAUAUGGUAUCUGUCUGAUUUUGUUUAUUUCGUAAACACUAAAACUUUCAACAACGGAUCUCUUGGUUCUC
rnacentral:misc_RNA from 1 species